rnacentral:rRNA from 1 species
AAUCUUCCGCAAUGUACGAAAGUCUGACGGAGCAACGCCGCGUGAGUGAUGAAGGUCUUCGGAUCGUAAAACUCUGUUGUUAGGGAAGAACAAGUAUCGUUCGAAUAGGGCGGUACCUUGACGGUACCUAACCAGAAAGCCACGGCUAACUACGUUCCAGCAGCCGCGGUAAUACGUAGGUGGCAAGCGUUAUCCGGAAUUAUUGGGCGUAAAGCGCGCGCAGGCGGUUUCUUGAGUCUGAUGUGAAAGCCCACGGCUCAACCGUGGAGGGUCAUUGGAAACUGGAUAACUUGAGUACAGAAGAGGAGAGUGGAAUUCCACGUGUAGCGGUGAAAUGCGUAGAGAUGUGGAGGAACACCAGUGGCGAAGGCGGCUCUCUGGUCUGUAACUGACGCUGAGGUGCGAAAGCGUGGGUAGCGAACA